AGAGUUGGCUCCGAAGCACUAUAAACUUUUCUGUGUUUGUAUUGGUUGUUGUCUCUUUCUCUCUCUUCACUCACUGCAUCUAGUAAACUAACUAAUUUGCUUGCAAUAGAUUUAGUUAAUUACUCAUUAUAUUUUGAAUUGGUCAAUAUUUAAUUAUAACCCAAUUCACCCCCCCUCUUGGGUUGUCUCCUUGGGCAACAAGUGGUAUCAAAGCUGGUGCUCUCAUAUCGA
rnacentral:lncRNA from 1 species